rnacentral:rRNA from 1 species
UACAACUUUCAACAACGGAUCUCUUGGCUCUCGCAUCGAUGAAGAACGCAGCGAAAUGCGAUAACUAAUGUGAAUUGCAGAAUUCAGUGAACCAUCGAGUCUUUGAACGCACCUUGCGCCCUUUGGUAUUCCGAAGGGCAUGCCUGUUUGAGUGUCAGU